rnacentral:lncRNA from 10 species
CUCAUGAUAGUGAAUAAGUCUCACGAGAUCUGAUGGGUUUAUCAGGAGUUUCCACUUUUGCUUCUUCCUCAUUCUCUCUUGGUGCCACCAUGUAAGAAGUGCCUUUCACUUCCUGCCAUGAUUCUGAAGUCCCCCCAGCCAUGUGGAACUGAUACCCCAUGGUUCUCCUACCACCAGAUGCUACUGAGGCUAAACUGACUGGACUGAGGAAAAAUAUCUGUGGGGAAAACUUUCUUUCAGAAUCCAACUUUGAACCAGAGAAAUCCAUUCUCUUGAAGCUGUCUGCUGUGGAGAAGUUGGCCUUACCAAUCUGCCUUUGAAGUUCAAGUUAUACAGGAUCUGCGAGGCUACCUGUGAAUGAAUGGUUGGUUGGUCACUACUUGCAAGUUUUUCAGGAGCUCCUGAAAGAUUACUGCAUAAAUAAGGGAAGAUGGAGACCAGACCUCUGGCUACUGUUGCUGCCACCACUACAGAUACCACCUUCACCCUUAUGAACCCCCUAUUUACUGAACAUUCUCUAUAUGCCAGAGAUGAAGGGGGUCUCACUAUGCUGCC